CCUACGGGUGGCAGCAGUCGAGAAUCAUUCACAAUGGGGGAAACCCUGAUGGUGCGACGCCGCGUGGGGGAAUGAAGGUCUUCGGAUUGUAAACCCCUUUCAUGUGGGAGCAAAUUAAGAAGAUAGUACCACAAGAGGAAGAGACGGCUAACUCUGUGCCAGCAGCCGCGGUAAUACAGAGGUCUCAAGCGUUGUUCGGAAUCACUGGGCGUAAAGCGUGCGUAGGCGGUUUCGUAAGUCGUGUGUGAAAGGCGCGGGCUCAACCCGCGGACGGCACAUGAUACUGCGAGACUAGAGUAGUGGAGGGGGAACCGGAAUUCGCGGUGUAGCAGUGAAAUGCGUAGAUAUCGAGAGGAACACUCGUGGCGAAGGCGGGUUCCUGGACAUUAACUGACGCUGAGGCACGAAGGCCAGGGGAGCGAAAGGGAUUAGAUACCCGGGUAGUC
rnacentral:rRNA from 1 species